CCUACGGGUGGCAGCAGUGAGGAAUAUUGGUCAAUGGCCGGAAGGCUGAACCAGCCAUGCCGCGUGAAGGUCAGUGCCCUAUGGGCGUUAAACUUCUUUUGUGCGGGAGCAAUAAUGGUCACGUGUGGCCAGACGAGAGUACCGUACGAAUAAGCAUCGGCUAACUCCGUGCCAGCAGCCGCGGUAAUACGGGGGAUGCAAGCGUUAUCCGGGUUUAUUGGGUUUAAGGGUGCGUAGGCUGUGAGGUAAGUCAGCGGUGAAAUGCCCCCGCUCAACGGGGUGAAGUGCCAUUGAUACUGCCUGGCUGGAAUGCGGAUGCCGUGGGAGGAAUGUGUGGUGUAGCGGUGAAAUGCAUAGAUAUCACACAGAACACCGAUUGCGAAGGCAUCUCACGAAGCCGCGAUUGACGCUGAUGCACGAAAGCGUGGGUAUCAAACAGGAUUAGAUACCCUGGUAGUC
rnacentral:rRNA from 1 species